rnacentral:rRNA from 1 species
GACGAACGCUGGCGGCGUGCCUAAUACAUGCAAGUCGAGCGAGCUGAAUUCAAAGAUCCCUUCGGGGUGAUUUGUUGGACGCUAGCGGCGGAUGGGUGAGUAACACGUGGGCAAUCUGCCCUAAAGACUGGGAUACCACUUGGAAACAGGUGCUAAUACCGGAUAACAACAUGAAUCGCAUGAUUCAAGUUUUGAAAGGCGGCGUAAGCUGUCACUUUUAGGAUGAGCCCGCGGCGCAUUAGCUAGUUGGUGGGGUAAAGGCCUACCAAGGCAAUGAUGCGUAGCCGAGUUGAGAGACUGAUCGGCCACAUUGGGACUGAGACACGGCCCAAACUCCUACGGGAGGCAGCAGUAGGGAAUCUUCCACAAUGGACGCAAGUCUGAUGGAGCAACGCCGCGUGAGUGAAGAAGGUUUUCGGAUUGUAAACUUCUGUUAUAAAGGAAGAACGGACGGCGUACAGGAAAUAGGUAGCCGAGUGACGGUACUUAUUAGAAAG